GUGCUUAAUCCAACUUACCAAGCUGGGUUACGACGCGACGCCGUUCAACCAGAUAUUGAAGCAGAACGCAAAAAGAGAGAUGAGAUUGAGGCUGGGAAAAGUUACUGUAGCCGACGUUUUGGCGGCGCAACCUGUGACGACAAAUCUGCUCAAAUUUAUGCGCGCUUCGAUAAAAAUGAUUGGCGUAUCCAACCUGCAGAGUUUUAUCGCUUCCAUGACGCAGAAGUUAACACUUU
rnacentral:rRNA from 1 species